AGCUGCGUGGUGAGCACAUAGCGAACUAUUCUUUCGCCUUUUACUAAAAAAAAAACUGUGUGAACGUCACACUAAGCAGUAUACCUUAAUUUUUUAAAGGUUGUCUUUUUCCU
rnacentral:snRNA from 1 species